GUCUUAUUGAUAAUAAUUUUAAGUCGAUCUGCCCAAUGAUAAUUUUAUUAAAUGGCUGCAGUAUAAUUGACUGUACAAAGGUAGCAUAAUCAAUUGGUUUUUAAAUGAAAUCUGGAAUGAAAGGAUUAAUGAAAUAUAUACUGUCUCAUAUAUAUUUUAUGAAUUUAAAAUUUUAAUAAAAAUGUUAAAAUUUUUUUAUGGGACGAUAAGACCCUAUAGAAUUUUAUAUAAAUUUAUUUUUGUAUUUAAUAUAAAAUUUAAAUUUAUAUUUAAUUGGGAGAAUUAUUAAAUUUAAUAAAUUUUAAUUUUUAUUUACUCAAAUUAGAGAAAAAAUUUUGAUCUUUAAUUUAAAAUUAAUAGAAUAAAUUACCUUAGGGAUAACAGCGUUAUAUUUUUUUAUAGAUCUUAUAGAAAAAAAUGAUUGCGACCUCGAUGUUGAAUUAAGAUAAAUUUUAAAUGUAGAAGUUUAAUAAUUAAGUCUGUUCGACUUUUAAAAUCUUACAUGAUUUGAGUUCAAAUCGACGUAAGU
rnacentral:rRNA from 1 species